rnacentral:lncRNA from 1 species
CUCUAGAAAUGCUCAUUAGGAUGUUUAAAAGUAAAUACUAAAUUCUUUACUGAAACCUCAAAGUUUUCCUACACCUUUCUUCUUCUUCUCCUCUCCUUCUCUCCCUAGAUUAAUCCCUCUCUAAGCUCUUGGAGGAUGAAAGAAUGAAAUAGAAGUGAUGACGAAAAUGGGAAGGGUGGGGUCUCUAUUUAUAGAAAAUAUGAACUGUUAGAUUUUUGUCAAGUCAUAAAAUCUAGUGAAGAGAGAAAAAGUGAAUGAGAAGGGACUGAUGUGAUGUCUGACCGAUGUGACCAAUGAACAAAUGACGCACGUGACAGCAACACAAAAAUUGGAGGCACGCCUCCCAAAUUAUGGUGGCACACCGCCUGAGGUAGCAGAACACUGCCCCAUUUGGCCGCGCGCGGAGCCAGCCUGUGCGCACACGGGACCUACAGUGCACAGGCCUACUGUGUGCAGGCCUAUGUGCGCAGGCCUCCCAUGCAGGCUUAC